GGGUUGUGAGGUUAAGCGACUAAGCGUACACGGUGGAUGCCCUGGCAGUCAGAGGCGAUGAAGGACGUGCUAAUCUGCGAUAAGCGUCGGUAAGGUGAUAUGAACCGUUAUAACCGGCGAUUUCCGAAUGGGGAAACCCAGUGUGAUUCGUCACACUAUCAUUAACUGAAUCCAUAGGUUAAUGAGGCGAACCGGGGGAACUGAAACAUCUAAGUACCCCGAGGAAAAGAAAUCAACCGAGAUUCCCCCAGUAGCGGCGAGCGAACGGGGAGGAGCCCAGAGCCUGAAUCAGUGUGUGUGUUAGUGGAAGCGUCUGGAAAGGCGCGCGAUACAGGGUGACAGCCCCGUACACAAAAAUGCACAUGCUGUGAGCUCGAUGAGUAGGGCGGGACACGUGGUAUCCUGUCUGAAUAUGGGGGGACCAUCCUCCAAGGCUAAAUACUCCUGACUGACCGAUAGUGAACCAGUACCGUGAGGGAAAGGCGAAAAGAACCCCGGCGAGGGGAGUGAAAAAGAACCUGAAACCGUGUACGUACAAGCAGUGGGAGCACAGAGCAAUCUGUGUGACUGCGUACCUUUUGUAUAAUGGGUCAGCGACUUAUAUUCUGUAGCAAGGUUAACCGAAUAGGGGAGCCGAAGGGAAACCGAGUCUUAACUGGGCGUUAAGUUGCAGGGUAUAGACCCGAAACCCGGUGAUCUAGCCAUGGGCAGGUUGAAGGUUGGGUAACACUAACUGGAGGACCGAACCGACUAAUGUUGAAAAAUUAGCGGAUGACUUGUGGCUGGGGGUGAAAGGCCAAUCAAACCGGGAGAUAGCUGGUUCUCCCCGAAAGCUAUUUAGGUAGCGCCUCGUGAAUUCAUCUCCGGGGGUAGAGCACUGUUUCGGCAAGGGGGUCAUCCCGACUUACCAACCCGAUGCAAACUGCGAAUACCGGAGAAUGUUAUCACGGGAGACACACGGCGGGUGCUAACGUCCGUCGUGAAGAGGGAAACAACCCAGACCGCCAGCUAAGGUCCCAAAGUCAUGGUUAAGUGGGAAACGAUGUGGGAAGGCCCAGACAGCCAGGAUGUUGGCUUAGAAGCAGCCAUCAUUUAAAGAAAGCGUAAUAGCUCACUGGUCGAGUCGGCCUGCGCGGAAGAUGUAACGGGGCUAAACCAUGCACCGAAGCUGCGGCAGCGACACUGUGUGUUGUUGGGUAGGGGAGCGUUCUGUAAGCCUGUGAAGGUGUGCUGUGAGGCAUGCUGGAGGUAUCAGAAGUGCGAAUGCUGACAUAAGUAACGAUAAAGCGGGUGAAAAGCCCGCUCGCCGGAAGACCAAGGGUUCCUGUCCAACGUUAAUCGGGGCAGGGUGAGUCGACCCCUAAGGCGAGGCCGAAAGGCGUAGUCGAUGGGAAACAGGUUAAUAUUCCUGUACUUGGUGUUACUGCGAAGGGGGGACGGAGAAGGCUAUGUUGGCCGGGCGACGGUUGUCCCGGUUUAAGCGUGUAGGCUGGUUUUCCAGGCAAAUCCGGAAAAUCAAGGCUGAGGCGUGAUGACGAGGCACUACGGUGCUGAAGCAACAAAUGCCCUGCUUCCAGGAAAAGCCUCUAAGCAUCAGGUAACAUCAAAUCGUACCCCAAACCGACACAGGUGGUCAGGUAGAGAAUACCAAGGCGCUUGAGAGAACUCGGGUGAAGGAACUAGGCAAAAUGGUGCCGUAACUUCGGGAGAAGGCACGCUGAUAUGUAGGUGAAGUCCCUCGCGGAUGGAGCUGAAAUCAGUCGAAGAUACCAGCUGGCUGCAACUGUUUAUUAAAAACACAGCACUGUGCAAACACGAAAGUGGACGUAUACGGUGUGACGCCUGCCCGGUGCCGGAAGGUUAAUUGAUGGGGUCAGCGCAAGCGAAGCUCUUGAUCGAAGCCCCGGUAAACGGCGGCCGUAACUAUAACGGUCCUAAGGUAGCGAAAUUCCUUGUCGGGUAAGUUCCGACCUGCACGAAUGGCGUAAUGAUGGCCAGGCUGUCUCCACCCGAGACUCAGUGAAAUUGAACUCGCUGUGAAGAUGCAGUGUACCCGCGGCAAGACGGAAAGACCCCGUGAACCUUUACUAUAGCUUGACACUGAACAUUGAGCCUUGAUGUGUAGGAUAGGUGGGAGGCUUUGAAGUGUGGACGCCAGUCUGCAUGGAGCCGACCUUGAAAUACCACCCUUUAAUGUUUGAUGUUCUAACGUGGACCCGUGAUCCGGGUUGCGGACAGUGUCUGGUGGGUAGUUUGACUGGGGCGGUCUCCUCCUAAAGAGUAACGGAGGAGCACGAAGGUUGGCUAAUCCUGGUCGGACAUCAGGAGGUUAGUGCAAUGGCAUAAGCCAGCUUGACUGCGAGCGUGACGGCGCGAGCAGGUGCGAAAGCAGGUCAUAGUGAUCCGGUGGUUCUGAAUGGAAGGGCCAUCGCUCAACGGAUAAAAGGUACUCCGGGGAUAACAGGCUGAUACCGCCCAAGAGUUCAUAUCGACGGCGGUGUUUGGCACCUCGAUGUCGGCUCAUCACAUCCUGGGGCUGAAGUAGGUCCCAAGGGUAUGGCUGUUCGCCAUUUAAAGUGGUACGCGAGCUGGGUUUAGAACGUCGUGAGACAGUUCGGUCCCUAUCUGCCGUGGGCGCUGGAGAACUGAGGGGGGCUGCUCCUAGUACGAGAGGACCGGAGUGGACGCAUCACUGGUGUUCGGGUUGUCAUGCCAAUGGCACUGCCCGGUAGCUAAAUGCGGAAGAGAUAAGUGCUGAAAGCAUCUAAGCACGAAACUUGCCCCGAGAUGAGUUCUCCCUGACCCUUUAAGGGUCCUGAAGGAACGUUGAAGACGACGACGUUGAUAGGCCGGGUGUGUAAGCGCAGCGAUGCGUUGAGCUAACCGGUACUAAUGAACCGUGAGGCUUAACCUUACAACGCCGAAGGUGUUU
rnacentral:rRNA from 10 species